CCAUGAUCCUAUUCCACUUCCUGUAGUGGAUUCCGCGUGGCUCCACCUCCCCCUGCGGCAGACCCACUACUCUCUGACAGGCUGUGUCAACGGCUACGAUUCUGCUCCGCUCCCUGCGACAGGUGCUGCACGAUCCCACUACUCGCUGACAACUAGCGACAACGGACGCCGCCCCACUACCUGCAACUGGCCCUACGUGGCAGGCUAUGGCGAUAGCCACGGGUCUACCCCACUAUCUUUCGCAAUCAAUUCCCCUGACCAUGGGCGGCCCACUACCAGGCGGUUACAAACAUCGCCAUCAAACCUUUGCCUCCUCCGCCUAUAAAAGGGAGACCU
rnacentral:lncRNA from 1 species